rnacentral:rRNA from 1 species
UACGUAGGGUGCAAGCGUUAAUCGGAAUUACUGGGCGUAAAGCGUGCGCAGGCGGCUUUGCAAGACAGAUGUGAAAUCCCCGGGCUUAACCUGGGAACUGCAUUUGUGACUGCAUGGCUGGAGUGCGGCAGAGGGGGAUGGAAUUCCGCGUGUAGCAGUGAAAUGCGUAGAUAUGCGGAGGAACACCGGUGGCGAAGGCGGCCCGCUGGGCAGGAAGGCUCGCAAGAGCCGGCUGACGCUGAGGCGCGACAGCGUGGGGAGCAAACAGG